AUUGAACGCUGGCGGCAUGCCUUACACAUGCAAGUCGAACGGUAACAGGUCUUCGGAUGCUGACGAGUGGCGAACGGGUGAGUAAUACAUCGGAACGUGCCCGAUCGUGGGGGAUAACGGAGCGAAAGCUUUGCUAAUACCGCAUACGAUCUACGGAUGAAAGCAGGGGACCGCAAGGCCUUGCGCGGACGGAGCGGCCGAUGGCAGAUUAGGUAGUUGGUGGGAUAAAAGCUUACCAAGCCGACGAUCUGUAGCUGGUCUGAGAGGACGACCAGCCACACUGGGACUGAGACACGGCCCAGACUCCUACGGGAGGCAGCAGUGGGGAAUAUUGGACAAUGGGCGCAAGCCUGAUCCAGCAAUGCCGCGUGUGUGAAGAAGGCCUGCGGGUUGUAAAGCACUUUCAUGGGAAGAACAGGUUCGGGUCAAUACCCGGAGCCUGACGUUACCACAGAAGAAGCACCGGCUAACUCCGUGCCAGCAGCC
rnacentral:rRNA from 1 species